GACGAACGCUGGCGGCGUGCUUAACACAUGCAAGUCGAACGGAAAGGCCCUGCUUUUGUGGGGUGCUCGAGUGGCGAACGGGUGAGUAACACGUGAGUAACCUGCCCUUGACUUUGGUAUAACUUCAGGAAACUGGGGCUAAUACCGGAUAGGAGCUCCUGCUGCAUGGUGGGGGUUGGAAAGUUUCGGCGGUUGGGGAUGUACUCGCGGCUUAUCAGCUUGUUGGUGGGGUAGUGGCUUACCAAGGCUUUUACGGGUAGCCGGCCUGAGAGGGGGACCGGCGACAUUGGGACUGAGAUACGGCCCAGACUCCUACGGGCGGCAGCAGUGGGGAAUCUUGCACAAUGGGCGGAAGCCUGAUGCAGCAACGCCGCGUGCGGGAUGACGGCCUUCGGGUUGUAAACCGAUUUCGCCUGUGACGAAGAGUGAGUGACGGUAAUGGGUAAAGAAGCACCGGCUAACUACGUG
rnacentral:rRNA from 1 species